rnacentral:misc_RNA from 1 species
AAGUCGUAACAAGGUUUCCGUAGGUGAACCUGCGGAAGGAUCAUUAUUGAAUAAACUUGGUUGGGUUGUUGCUGGCCCCUCGGGGCAUGUGCACGCCUGGCACCAUUUUUUACCACCUGUGCACCCUUUGUAGACCUGGGAUAACCGUCCGGGGAAACUCGGUUUGAGGAUCUGCCGUCAAGGCUCUCCUUGCAUUCCUGGUCUACGUCUUUACAUAUACCCCACAAGCAUGUAAUAGAAUGUCAUUGAUUGGCCUCAGUGCCUUUAAAUUGAAUACAA